AUAAAUUGGUCACUGCCUAUCAAGACCCGACUCUAAUGCCAAUUCAAUACUCUGCAAACGCUGACAGUCUUAACAGUCCCCUUAUAUCAUCCGCUGAUGUUUGAAUAUAAGGUAUUAGUAUGUAUAUUGUANNNNNNNNNCUGUGAAAUGGCAGUUUCUAUUGUCUACUGCCAUUUUGAUGGGUAAUGACCUUUUCCUGCCAUGAGUUAAUAUUCCAACGAAAAGCAUUUAUCACGAGUACAUGCCUGGAUGUAAAUGUAUGUCCAUUCGUGAUUGUUCUUUAAUUUUUAUUUUUUACAUUGGAGUGUAAAUUAGCCCUGAGAUAGUGGUAAAUGCAAGCAUGUGAUCAACUCCAAAAAAAAAAAAAAAAAAAAAA
rnacentral:misc_RNA from 1 species